GAAGCUCCCGGCCGGCGGCAGAAACCGGGAGUGGGGCCGGGCGAGUGCGCGGCAUCCCAGGCCAGCCCGAUCGCUCCGCCCGCGGUGGGCCGACUUCCCCUCCUCUUCCCUCUCUCCUUCCUUUAGCCCGCUGGCGCCGGACACGCUGCGCCUCAUCUCUUGGGGCGUUCUUCCCCGUUGGCCAACCGUCGCAUCCCGUGCAACUCUGGGGUAGUGGCCGUUUAGUGUUGAAUGUUCCCCACCGAGAGCGCAUGGCUUGGGAAGCGAGGCGCGAACCCGGCCCCCGAAGGGCCGCCGUCCGGGAGACGGUGAUGCUGUUGCUGUGCCUGGGGGUCCCGACCGGCUGCCCCUACAACGUGGACACUGAGAGCGCGCUGCUUUACCAGGGCCCCCCCAACACGCUGUUCGGCUACUCGGUCGUGCUGCACAGCCACGGGGCGAACCGAUGGCUCUUAGUGGGUGCGCCCACUGCCAACUGGCUCGCCAACGCUUCAGUGAUCAAUCCCGGGGCGAUUUACAGAUGCAGGAUCGGAAAGAAUCCCGGCCAGACGUGCGAACAGCUCCAGCUGGGUAGCCCUAAUGGAGAACCUUGUGGAAAGACUUGUUUGGAAGAGAGAGACAAUCAGUGGUUGGGGGUCACACUUUCCAGACAGCCAGGAGAAAAUGGAUCCAUUGUGACUUGUGGGCAUAGAUGGAAAAAUAUAUUUUACAUAAAGAAUGAAAAUAAGCUCCCCACUGGUGGUUGCUAUGGAAUGCCCCCUGAUUUACGAACAGAACUGAGUAAAAGAAUAGCUCCAUGUUAUCAAGAUUAUGUGAAAAAAUUUGGAGAAAAUUUUGCAUCAUGUCAAGCUGGAAUAUCUAGUUUUUACACAAAGGAUUUAAUUGUGAUGGGAGCCCCAGGAUCAUCUUAUUGGACUGGCUCUCUUUUUGUCUACAAUAUAACUACAAAUAAGUACAAGGCUUUUUUAGACAAACAAAAUCAAGUAAAAUUUGGAAGUUAUUUAGGAUAUUCGGUUGGAGCUGGUCAUUUUCGGAGCCAGCAUACUACCGAAGUAGUUGGAGGAGCUCCUCAACAUGAGCAGAUUGGUAAAGCAUAUAUAUUCAGCAUUGAUGAAAAAGAACUAAAUAUCUUACAUGAAAUGAAAGGUAAAAAGCUUGGAUCGUACUUUGGAGCUUCUGUGUGUGCUGUGGACCUCAACGCAGAUGGCUUCUCAGAUCUGCUCGUGGGAGCACCCAUGCAGAGCACCAUCAGAGAGGAAGGAAGAGUGUUUGUGUACAUCAACUCUGGCUCGGGAGCAGUAAUGAAUGCAAUGGAAAUAAACCUCGUUGGAAGUGACAAAUAUGCUGCAAGAUUUGGGGAAUCUAUAGUUAAUCUUGGCGACAUUGACAAUGAUGGCUUUGAAGGUAAUUAAAAUUAUCAAAUUAGUGCUUGAUUUCUGCUUUUAAAACGGUUUACGGAAGAAAAUAUGAUUAAAGUUUUGUAUUGUUUACCUUCCUAUAGAAGAUGGAGCCAGAAUGGCAUGCUAAGUUUUUUCUUUUCUUUAGUGUUAUAUAUGACUUCUCCUCAAUUGUCACCCAUUGAUCUUUACCACUGUUAAUAAUGGAUGAUAUUCAAAAUACCUUAUUUCAGUGAUUCUAAGGCACCAUUGAUUAGAAACUGCGUUAUUAUUUAUGUGUCCCUAAAAGCUACCUAUUAAGCUGUUACACCCACCAUUUUUCUG
rnacentral:sRNA from 1 species